GGGUGAGUAAUGCGUAGGAAUCUACCUAAGAGAUGAGGAUAACGUGGGGAAACUCACGCUAAUACUGAAUACGCCCUGAGGGGUAAAGGAAGCGCAAGCUACCGCUUUUAGAUGAGCCUACGUUUGAUUAGCUAGUUGGUGGGGUAAAGGCCUACCAAGGCGACGAUCAAUAGCUGUUCUGAGAGGAAGAUCAGCCACACUGGGACUGAGACACGGCCCAGACUCCUACGGGAGGCAGCAGUGGGGAAUCUUGGACAAUGGGGGCAACCCUGAUCCAGCGAUGCCGCGUGUGUGAAGAAGGCCUUAGGGUUGUAAAGCACUUUAGUGGGGGAGGAGUAGUGAUAGUUGAAUAGACUAUUAUGAGGACGUUACCCCAAGAAUAAGCACCGGCUAACUCUGUGCCAGCAGCCGCGGUAAUACAGAGGGUGCGAGCGUUAAUCGGAAUUAUUGGGCGUAAAGGG
rnacentral:rRNA from 1 species